UGGAGGCAGAGACGGAUGGAAGGACAGACAGACCCAGAGUCGGAGGAGGAGUCAGUGUCAUGGAGACGGAGAGCGGCCAGCCGGAGGGACAGGACCCACUCUCCGAAGGACGACGGGGGCACCGCUCAGGGGGCAGAGAAUUGUUCUACUGGAGAGCCAGACGUCUUACUGCCGCUUGCCAGAAAUUGGAUGAAACGAAUGUACAAAUUAACAACGUCUGUUGUAAAUGGA